UACGAAGGGGGCUAGCGUUGUUCGGAAUUACUGGGCGUAAAGCGCACGUAGGCGGAUACUUAAGUCAGGGGUGAAAUCCUGGAGCUCAACUCCAGAACUGCCUUUGAUACUGGGGAUCUCGAGUCCGGAAGAGGUGAGUGGAACUCCGAGUGUAGAGGUGAAAUUCGUAGAUAUUCGGAAGAACACCAGUGGCGAAGGCGGCUCACUGGUCCGGUACUGACGCUGAGGUGCGAAAGCGUGGGGAGCAAACAGG
rnacentral:rRNA from 1 species